GCCUGGAUAGCUCAUGUGGUGAGAAUGUGGUGCGGAUAACGCCAAGGUUGCAGGUUCGAUCCCCGUAUGGGACA